AUACGGAGGGGGCUAACGUUGUUCGGAAUCAUUGGGCGUAAAGCGCGCGUAGGCGGCUAGGUAAGUCGGGUGUGAAAUCCCGGGGCUCAACCCCGGAACUGCACUCGAUACUGCCUGGCUAGAGUCUCGGAGAGGUAGGCGGAAUUCCCGGUGUAGAGGUGAAAUUCGUAGAUAUCGGGAGGAACACCAGUGGCGAAGGCGGCCUACUGGACGAUGACUGACGCUGAGGUGCGAAAGCGUGGGGAGCAAACAGGAUUAGAUACCCCAGUAGUCC
rnacentral:rRNA from 1 species